UACGAAGGGGGCUAGCGUUGCUCGGAAUUACUGGGCGUAAAGGGCGCGUAGGCGGCACUGUUAGUCAGGCGUGAAAGUCCUGGGCUCAACCUGGGAACUGCGCUUGAUACGGCAGAGCUAGAGGAUGGAAGAGGGUCGCGGAAUUCCCAGUGUAGAGGUGAAAUUCGUAGAUAUCGGGAAGAACACCGGUGGCGAAGGCGGCGACCUGGUCCAUUACUGACGCUGAGGCGCGACAGCGUGGGGAGCAAACAGG
rnacentral:rRNA from 1 species